rnacentral:rRNA from 1 species
CAGUAGCCGCGGUAAUACGAAGGGGGCUAGCGUUGUUCGGAAUUACUGGGCGUAAAGCGCACGUAGGCGGAUAUUUAAGUCAGGGGUGAAAUCCCAGAGCCCAACUCUGGAACUGCCUUUGAUACUGGGUAUCUUGAGUAUGGAAGAGGUGAGUGGAAUUCCGAGUGUAGAGGUGAAAUUCGUAGAUAUUCGGAGGAACACCAGUGGCGAAGGCGGCUCACUGGUCCAUUACUGACGCUGAGGUGCGAAAGCGUGGGGAGCAAACAGGAUUAGAUACCCCCGUAGUCCCUGUCUCUUAUAC